rnacentral:rRNA from 1 species
GAAUUUGAUCUGGUUCAGGAUGAACGCUAGCUACAGGCUUAACACAUGCAAGUCGAGGGGCAGCGAGGGCGUAGCAAUACGCCUGUCGGCGACCGGCGCACGGGUGAGUAACGCGUAUCCAACCUUCCCCUUAGUAGGGCAUAGCCCGGCGAAAGUCGGAUUAAUACCCUAUGUUUUUCCGAUGAUGGCAUCUGAGUUGGAAUAAAGAUUCAUCGCUAAGGGAUGGGGAUGCGUCUGAUUAGGCAGCAGGCGGGGUGACGGCCCACCUGGCCUACGAUCAGUAGGGGUUCUGAGAGGAAGGUCCCCCACAUUGGAACUGAGACACGGUCCAAACUCCUACGGGAGGCAGCAGUGAGGAAUAUUGGUCAAUGGGCGAGAGCCUGAAACCCAGCCAAGUAGCGUGAGGGAUGACGGCCCUACGGGUUGUAAACCUCUUUUGUACGGGAAUAAAGUGCCCCACGUGUGGGGUUUUGUAUGUACCGUAAGAAUAAGGACCGGCUAAUUCCGUGCCAGCAGCCGC